rnacentral:rRNA from 1 species
UACGUAGGGUGCGAGCGUUGUCCGGAAUUAUUGGGCGUAAAGAGCUCGUAGGCGGUUUGUCACGUCUGCUGUGAAAUCCCGAGGCUCAACCUCGGGCCUGCAGUGGGUACGGGCAGACUGGAGUGCGGUAGGGGAGAAUGGAAUUCCUGGUGUAGCGGUGGAAUGCGCAGAUAUCAGGAGGAACACCGGUGGCGAAGGCGGAUCUCUGGGCCUUACCUGACGCUCAGGCGCGAAAGCUAGGGGAGCAAACAGG